CCUACGGGUGGCUGCAGUGAGGAAUAUUGGUCAAUGGGCGUAAGCCUGAACCAGCCAAGUCGCGUGAGGGAUGAAGGUUCUAUGGAUCGUAAACCUCUUUUAUAAGGGAAUAAAGUGCGGGACGUGUCCCGUUUUGUAUGUACCUUAUGAAUAAGGAUCGGCGAACUCCGCGCCAGCAGCCGCGGUAAUACGGAGGGUCCGAGCGUUAUCCGGACUUAUUGGGUUGAAAGGGUGCGUAGGCGGCCUUUUAAGUCAGCGGUGAAAGUCUGUGGCUCAACCAUAGAAUUGCCGUUGAAACUGGGGGGCUUGAGUAUGUUAGAGGCAGGCGGAAUGCGUGGUGUAGCGGUGAAAUGCUUAGAUAUCAGGCAGAACCCCGAUUGCGAAGGCGGCCUGCCAAGCCAUGACUGACGCUGAGGCACGAAGGCGUGGGGAUCAAACAGGAUUAGAUACCCGGGUAGUC
rnacentral:rRNA from 1 species